GUGAGGAAUUUUCCGCAAUGGGCGAAAGCCUGACGGAGCAAUGCCGCGUGAAGGAUGAAGGCCUAUGGGUUGUAAACUUCUUUUCUUAGAGAAGAAUAUUGACGGUAUCUGAGGAAUAAGCAUCGGCUAACUCUGUGCCAGCAGCCGCGGUAAGACAGAGGAUGCAAGCGUUAUCCGGAAUGAUUGGGCGUAAAGCGUCUGUAGGUGGCUUCAAAAGUCUCCUGUCAAAGAUCAGGGCUUAACCCUGAGACGGCAGGAGAAUCUCGUAGGCUAGAGUUUGGUAGGGGCAGAGGGAAUUCCCGGGGGAGCGGUGAAAGGCGUAGAGAUCGGGAGGAACACCAAAGGCGAAAGCACUCUGCUGGGCCACAACUGACACUGAGAGACGAAAGCGAGGGGAGCAAAAGGGAUUAGCUACCCCAGUAGUCC
rnacentral:rRNA from 1 species